CAGCGGGGUGGUAUCCGGAGCCGCUGCAUAUAUAUACACAGGUGGGUGGUUUCACCUCAGUCUCAUGCUUUCUCUUGAGCUCUCCCCGUGGUGGUAACUGCAGCCAAGCGGGCUGGAUCUGGCGUGAUCAAUCGGGACGCACAUCAUAUCAUCGGUACAGUGACGCUGGGAGACGGGUCGCUCCGUUCAGCGUGCCGUGGGUGCUUCUGUGACGACAGGGUUUGGUGAGCCUCGGCGGCAGUUUAAUCCCUGGUGGUGGUUCACGGAUCCCUUUUCGUUGGUGUGUUGUCACAGGUGUGAUUAUUUGGACCCCCUUUUUCUUCCUUUUGGUUAUUUGUUUGCCUGCCGCCAUGGUAAGCCAGCCUGCUCCCUUUAUUGUUUAAGUUUAGUACUCCUGAUUCUCGCUUUUAAACUGGUGGCUUGCUUUUUAUAUUUAAUGCCAUAAUUAAUAAAGAAAUUGUUGUAUUUUUGGAAA